rnacentral:misc_RNA from 1 species
GAACUGCGAUAAGUAAUGUGAAUUGCAGAAUUCAGUGAAUCAUCGAGUCUUUGAACGCACAUUGCGCCCCCUGGCAUUCCGGGGGGCAUGCCUGUCCGAGCGUCAUUGCUGCCCUUCAAGCCCGGCUUGUGUGUUGGGUCGUCGUCCCCUCCGGGGGACGGGCCCGAAAGGCAGUGGCGGCACCGCGUCCGGUCCUCGAGCGUAUGGGGCUUUGUCACCCGCUCGAUAAGGACCGGCCGGGCGCCAGCCGGCGUCUCCAACCUUUUUUUUCUCAGGUUGACCUCGGAUCAGGUAGGGAUACCCGCUGAACUUAAGC